GAUGAAGAACGCAGCGAAAUGCGAUAAGUAAUGUGAAUUGCAGAAUUCAGUGAAUCAUCGAAUAUUUGAACGCACAUUGCGCCCGUCAGUAUUCUGGCGGGCAUGCCUGUUCGAGCGUCAUUACGCCCCUCAAGUCCCCUGUGGACUUGGUGUUGGGGAUCGGCGAGGCUGGUUUUCCAGCACAGCCGUCCCUUAAAUUAAUUGGCGGUCUCGCCGUGGCCCUCCUCUGCGCAGUAGUAAAACACUCGUAACAGGAGCCCGGCGCGGUCCACUGCCGUAAAACCCCCCAACUUUUUAUAGUUGACCUCGAAUCAGGUAGGACUACCCGCUGAACUUAAGCAUAUAAUAAGCGGAGGA
rnacentral:misc_RNA from 1 species